ensembl:miRNA
UAUCAGCUCAUCAGCAUGACAAUCCUCUGCUGCCUUGGGAGUUGUGAGCAGAGGAUUGUCGUGCUGAUGAGUUGAUA